CAGGCCUAACACAUGCAAGUCGGGCGGUAACAGAACUAGCUUGCUGGUUGCUGACGAGCGGCGGACGGGUGCGUAACACGUAGGAAUCUGCCCGGUAGUGGGGGAUAGCCCGGAGAAAUCCGGAUUAAUACCGCAUACGCCUUAAGAGGGAAAGCAGGGGACCCGUUUCUUUUAUAAGGAGCGAACCUUGCGCUAUCGGAUGAGCCUGCGUCGGAUUAGCUGGUUGGUGGGGUAAAGGCCUACCAAGGCGACGAUCCGUAGCUGGUCUGAGAGGAUGAUCAGCCACACUGGGACUGAGACACGGCCCAGACUCCUACGGGAGGCAGCAGUGGGGAAUAUUGCACAAUGGGCGCAAGCCUGAUGCAGCCAUGCUGCGUGUGUGAAGAAGGCCCUAGGGUUGUAAAGCACUUUCAGCGAGGAGGAAAGGGUGUAGGUUAAUACCCUGCAUCUGUGACGUUACUCGCAGAAGAAGCACCGGCUAACUCCGUGCCAGCAGCCGCGGUAAUACGGAGGGUGCGAGCGUUAAUCGGAAUUACUGGGCGUAAAGCGUGCGUAGGCGGCUUGUUAAGUUGGAUGUGAAAGCCCCGG
rnacentral:rRNA from 1 species